GACACCCUAGAUCCCGGGACAUGCGCCCAGGUCCCCUGCCUUACAGGGUUCCCCGGGGGCGGAGGCCGAGUGUCCUAGCUGCUUUAGAGACCACUGUCCCCUACCGUCCCAGAUUCUACUCCCUGGCGAAGCGAAAAGGGGCAGCACCGCCGGCCAUAACCCUCAGGUCUACCUACGAGGCGGUGCCCUGUACCCACGUCCCUCAGAGUGGCACCCACAGAUGUCCUGUUCUACGCUUGGCUUGGUUUUCCAACGAGGAACUCAGACUGGGCAGCUCCGCACUUAAGCUCCGAGCUGAUAUCCCCUCAAAAUAAUCGUGAACCCCAAGGAGAAAAUUGGAUUUUUAAAAAAUCUAAACCCUCUAAAAAUCUAAACCCUGCCCUCGAAGUGGGGAUUAAAUGGCUCCUGAGCUUUGUGACACCCCCCCAAAAUCCGCCUAUGUUAGUCUGAGUAGAGUUUGGGAUCAACCUUGGUUUUCUGUGACAUGCAAGGUGGGUGGGCAUUGGGCAGGAGAGGGGUGUGGGUGCUGGGUGUCACCUGAAUUCUCUGUCCUGGAGAACUUCGGGGGAGCUGCAGUCCAGAGGGGCCUGAAAAGUCAACGCCAACUCCCACAUUCCAAAACAAAGAUCAGAAGGGAGCAAAGUGCCUGGUGCCCUCCAGCCCGCCCUCCACCAGGGCUGUGACAGCCCUAUCAGGUCCUGGCCCGAGCAUCCUCGGUCCCCCGCUCAGGCUGAGGAGGAGAAAGACAGGUUCCCUUAGAGGUGUGUGUCCCUGCGGUAGUGGGAGGGACCUUUUCCAAAAGCAGCCGGGGGCAAAAAUGGCUGAGCCCUGGAGCCUCAGGAAGAAAUUGUCAGGCUGGCGGCAGACAAAGAAAGCACUCUGUCUCCAGCCAAGUGGUAACUCGGUGGCCGGUCCUCAGAGGACAAACUAUAAGAAGUGCAGCAUGGAACAAGCUUUUUCAAGCCCUGGGGAAGGGGCUGUGCUUCCUGUGCUCUCCUCCUUUGGCCUAGCAAGUGCUGUAUUGCAUGACUAGGUGGCACUGUGGGCAUUAGGAUUGCAAGCUCAAAGCCUUCGAGGGCCAGGUGGGUCACACAAAUGAGUACAGAGGUCAGGGGCACAAUGACAUUAUCACCAGACUUGUAGUAAACUAGAAAACAUAUGCCCACCCCCUUCCCAAAGCAGGGAAAUGCCAGUUUUAAAAUUCUAAGCAGAUGCCAUGCAAUCCAAACACAUUUGGCUCCAAGGCUGUCAGCCCGAGGUCCCUAGUGGCUCUCCGUGACCUCACGGGUCCUGUCCUAUAUCUGGGGGCUGAGUAUGUCAUCUCUGGAAUGGGACCCACACAGCCUGGAAGCUGUCGCCACCCCAGCAUGGGUGCUGAUAGAGGCCCUGGAGCUGUCCGGAGCCAGGCCCUGUUGUGCCUCUUAGUAUUGCCAAGACAGGCCCCGGCUCGGAGCUGCGCUUCUGCACAUGGCUUAUUAAAGAUGAGCGCUCCAUUCAGCCACUCCCAGAUGCAUUAUUUUUCAUUUUCUCCAAGUCUGAGUUCUCCAAGAGCCUUUCUCUGACUGCCCUUUGGAGCCCUUCAAGCUCUUCUUGAAGCAGGAGUGAAUGGUUCCUCAACCCCAGAACUUGCUGCCGAGCGAGUCUGACAAAGCAGAGAGCUGUGUAAGAGCAUGCAAGUUCCAUCGAGUGAUUCUUACUCCUGAUCAGGAUUAAUCCUUUCUGGCUGGCUAAGCUUGGGGCCUUUACAGAAGCAUCCCCUGGAACCGAAGCGCCACACCAGUCAAAGGCAGCAGGGAGGAAGGGGUACCUAGACAGGUCAGGAUGUGUGGGUGUAGCAGCUGGUGCCCUCAGCCUGUUCCCCCCAUCCCCUGUGCCCAGUACAGGGCCCACAGAUGCUGGUGUGGGAGGCAGCUGCUGUGCACAAGGCUGAGACUAAGGACCUGUCAGCCCCCCACCCCAUGUAUCUACAGAAGGAGUCAGUGGCAGGUGCCCCUAGGCCAGCUGCUGCUGCUAAGUGCAGGCAGCCCCCCACUUGGGAAGAUUGUACAGCACACAGGAAACAGCAUGUGCGGCUGUCCUGCCCUCCUCCCUCUUCUUGUCUGCCCCCUCCUCUCCAUCCUCCUUCCCAUCCCCCUCCGCCUUGUGCACCCUCUCUCUGGCCCUCCCCUCUCAUACCCCACUCAGCUCCUUCCUCCUCCAUGUUCAUCCCUGUGCAGGCUGCAGGUUUGGCCUGGUAUGUCCAGACCCCCGGGUCUGACCCCAGGAUGCUGACUCUCUGUCCCUGUGGCGCCUGUGGCCCCCACAGGGCUGCAGCGCAUACUUGGGCCAGCCAGGAGAUGUCCUGCCAGGCUGUCCUUACAGGAAUCCGUGCUCUGAGGACGAGCAGAGCAAGGGCCGAGAGGAAGCUGUGGGGAGGCCACUGGGUGUGCAGUGGCAGGAGCCAUGCAUCUGUCUCCUGGGGAUGCUGUGCCUGUCUUGGCACCUCAUGCGGCCGAAGCCAGAGCAGUCAUUGGGCAGCAGGCAGCAGGUGAUCCCUGGCCCUUUGGUUUGUCUCCCGAGGGCCUGUUGUGAAGCCCUCGCCCACACACAUGUGCUGGGGGGCACCCAGCUCAUGGGAGAGACCAGUCCCACUGUGUGGAGGUGACAGAGUGGUCACUGGCGAGCUGCUGAGGAACUACUUAUUGGUCAGUGGAGUCCCACAGAAGGACUGGGCUUUCCACAUGGUCCCGCUGUGGUCCCAGCCUCCUCCCCCCCUCCCCACCAAAGCCAGGAGGUCUGUCGGGAGGCCAGCAGAUCAAAUCUCCCCACCUUUCUGGCAGCCCUGGCAGCCUCCAUCCCGAGCACAGGGGCAGGACUGAUUGGGAGCGUGACUUGGGAAGCCCAGGUUUGGGGUCCUGAAUCCUGGGUCUGGGCCUCACCUCCUCCCUGCACAGCGGAGGGAGAGCCACAUGCUGUCAGCUGUUCGGGCUGCUGAGCCCUUAGGGAGGCCUGGUGGGGAGAACCGUCCUGUGAUACUGACCCUUCCCGCAGCAGUGCUGGCUCUGCGCCUCGACCCACCCCAACCUGGGCCCCGCCACCCUGCUGAUCCCGCUGAGAACUGAGGAUGAGGCCAGGAGCCAGGUGGGGCUGCCUCUUUCCUGCCUGCCCGCCCCUACUCCACAUGCCCUGGAGAACCCAGGUGCUGCUUGGGUUCUGGGUCCUUGGAUUGCUGGGUGGCUGAUCUCCCAGGCACCCUAAGAGCUCAGGGGCAGUGGCUCUGUAUUUUUCUGCUCCACAGGCACAUAGCCAGGCAGGAUGGGUUGGGUUAAAAAUUUCCCUGACCAAAAUGAGGGGGCUCAGUCAAGUGGUACAGAAACCAGGGGCCAGAAGAGACUCUAGCAAACCACUGACUGUGCAGGCAAGGUGAGAAGGCGGAGGUCAGGAGGAUGGAAAUCACAGCAGGUGCCCGAGUCGGAGUUCAGCUCCUACCUGCACAUGCAAGGAAACCCAGGCACAGAGAGAGCAAGGCACUGGCUUGAGGUCGCACAGCCAGUAAAGAGUGGGUAAGGGUUCCAGCUCCCCUCUGUGGGUCUCAAGGUAACUGCCCAUCCUCCUCCCAGAUGGGCCCCAGGACAGCGUCUCCUGGAAGAUGUGCCUUGGGAGCCAGUGGGCCGUGUCUGCUCCCUGAUGGGGGUGGGUCACUGGCAUACACCAAGGGUGGGCUGGGGGCACUGCAGACACCUGUUAGACAGCAGAGGGGAGCAGAUAAGAGUGGAGAUACAGCACCCCAGCUGCUGGCUUCAAGUCUUGGUGCCCCGGCUUCUCGCUGGGUGAACUUGGACAAGUCCCUGUCCCUCUCUGUGCCUAAAUGAGGGGCUUGAUAACAGGGAGGUGAUGGACAGUGCCCUGACCUGCCUAUCAAGUGUCCCCCUUGCCUCCUCCUGCCCACUGAACUCUGCCUCCUCCUUCCCCAUUGAGAGGGAGAAGCCAGGGCUCUCGGGUUCGCUCCUCUGUUGGAUGGAACUGCACAGCCCCCAGGGGUUGCAGCAUUGAUUUUGCUCUCCCUGGGUAUUGGGGUGCCCGCUGGCCUUCUCUGUUGUGGUUUUUGGCAGACCCCCAGAAAGCCACACUUCUGGGCACCCAGGGGCUGGGUGGGAACAGGCGGGACACCAUCUGCUGGGGACAGUGAGCCCAGACAAACUCAUCUCCACACAGCACAGCCCUCUGGCCACAGCCCCUGCCAGGCCAGCUCGCCUGGAGCUGCAGAGGGGUCACAUAGCCCAGGCCGGGAGCGCUGACAUCGCAUCUGUCUGUGUGCAGCCCUGCGCAUCGUGUGGCUCUCGGAGCCUUGAUGCCCCUCACUGUGAGGCAGGACUAGUGAUGAUUCCCACAUCCUUGUACACAGCACUUGCUGGGCGGGGCAGGUGCUGGAAACCAUACCACUGUUGGAAGCAGCUCCUGCCGAUCCCACGGAGAAGUGGGGAGACUGGAGGAAAGAAGCAACUCACCUGCAGGUCCCAGGGAUGCUGGGGGGGAGGCGUCCAGGGACACACACAGGAGAGGCAUGGUUGUGGGCUCUGCAGGUGACCUCGGGUGGCUGAGGGCUGCGAGGGGCUGCAGCGGGAGCCACUCACUGGCCUCUCAGGCCCUUUCCCUCAGCUGUGACCUGAGGGUGUAGACAGGGCGCCAGUGUGGCAAGGAAGGUGGCCUCGGGUGAGGGCCUGGCACAGGGGCUCCAGCCGCGCCCUAGGUCUGUCCUGCCCGCUGGCCUGGACCAGGUCUGCCAGUCCCCAUGGGCAACACUGCCACACUCGGCGCCUCUGGGCCCUGAUUGAGGCUCCAUUGCAGCACCCCCCAGGCUGGGCAGCCUCAGUUUCCUUGUCUGUCCAGUGAGGGAGCACCAAGGCCCAGUAGGCACACAGUAAGAGUUUGCUCUUCUCCUGGGUGAGCGGCCACUGGCAUGGCCCGGGCACACAAAGAUGCUGAGUGCUCCUGGUGAACGGAUCCCUGCCUUUUCCUGCAGCAGAGAAUAGACUGCUUCUGCUUCCCCGGGCACAAAGCCAAACUCAAUAUGAAGUUUUUUUCUUGAACCUCCGCGUUUCAAAAAGAAUUUAAAGCAAGUUGAGCGAUUGCAGUCUAAAGUGAGGCUCUGUAAUUUCUGUAAUUACGGAACCGGAGUGAGACAAAGCAGGAGUGAGAGCAGCCUUGGGGGAGGGGACAGUCCCUUCCUCGUGCCCCAUGCCCAGCCACCGGGGACAAUGGUAGCCCUGAGACUCCGGCUUCCCCACCCCACGCAGCCGCCUGUCCCUCUGAGGCAUGGGACAGAGAGAGCUUGUCUGUGACAGCUUCCACGCUCCCUCCAGCCUCGGGUCAGGGCUCUAGCAUCUCUUGCCUGGGCACUCAGACUCCAAAGGGGCCCUUCUGCUGCCUUCUGGAGCUGAGACAGAAUAAGGCAGGCGGCCCAUCCCAUUCAGAAUAAGAUCUGAGCUCUCACCCUGGCCCCCGCAGCACCAUGGGACCUCGCCCCAUCCACUGCCUCCACGUGAUCCAUCCCCACAUGAUCUCACUGGACUCCAGCCUCCUUGGCCUCCUUGCUGACUUUCAAACAUACCCAGCUCUUUCCUGCCUCAGGGCCCUUACACUUGCUGUCCCACUGCUUGAAAUACUGUAUCCCAGCCUGUCACAUUUCUGGCUCUUAAUUCAGGCUGAUUUUUUUUUUUUUUUACUCUGGCUGGUAAAACAAGCCCAGGGGCCAGUUUUGACCCAUUUUGCCACUUCUGAUCUGGGGCUUCCAAGCUGCACAUGUUUUCUUUUUCUUGCCAGGCACCUCCUCAUUCAGGAUUGCCAGAGGCAUUUCCCCUACUUGGUUUGUCCCCAUCUUUCUCAGGGGCUUUACAAUGUGGCCACAGGAGGCACACUGAGGAAGGGGCAGGCUGUCAUGGGAGUUUUAUGCCUGUAUUCAUGAAUUUCCCUCCACUUGGAAUGCCUGCUCCUCUUUUUUGAGCCUGAUGAACUCCUAUUCAGCUUUCAAAACCCAGCCUAGACGGCCCCUCCUCUGGGAAACCUUCUGUUGGUGAUUUAACUCAUUCCUUCUGGGCCUACAGUGCCUUGCUUUCCUACAUCUUGCAGCACUUGCCAUAAGCUUCAGGUAAGCUUCGUGGUAGAAAGAGUCUCCUUCAGGCCAUGACCUCGUCCAAGACAGUGUCCUACUCCAGCCUUGCAUCCUGAGUAUCCCUGGCUCUGUGCACACAGUCAGUAUCUGUAGGACUGACCCUCUAGACAGGUGUCCGAGACAUGUGUGGGCGCCUUUGAGGACGAGAAGCCAGGGUGGUGGUAAAGCGUGGGUUGUCUGUGAGCCCCGGGAUGGUGUUAGUGAUGGGCACACCGUGUGGGGACCAGGUCCAAGGAGCCACAGAGCAGGGCUUCUUCCCAGCUCCUGGCUGUCCGGGGAGAGGGCUCUGUAAGUUUAUUUUGUGUCAUUUCAUUAACUGUUAAAGAACAUUCCAGAAAUCAAAAAAGGAAAAAGCGUCACAGAAGAAAACAAAAAUCACUCCUCAUCAAAGCCCUGGUUUCAUCUUUGGGUGUACCCUCCCAGUGUGCCUGUUUGUGAGUUUUUAUGAGCAGAUUUGGGGGUGGAAGGGAGACUCGCUGGAGGGGGGAGGGGGUACUUGAAAACCUGCUUUCCUGACUACACAAAACACCAGGCUCUUCCCCAUGGUCUUACAUGGUCUUUCAUCACAUUUCUGUAUGUCCAGAUAAGGAUGCAGAAAAUCGCUACAUUAAACCUUGGCUUUAUAUAUUUUGGGAAAAGGAAACCAUCAACUGGGUCCCACAGCUCCCAGUGGGGCUCAGGCGUGGCACCCCUGGGCCCCAUUGGCUCUCUUUUCCUUCUGAUAAAUUAUGGAAUGUGGUCCUCACAUGCCCAUCACAGCUGUCCCCAGCACCCAGGCCAGCACCACGCUGCAUGGACUGGCUGUGGUCACCGUGGGCUGGGUCUGUAGACACGGUGCAGCCCACCGCCACUGCCUGCUCACCCGCCCUCUCUUUCCUUCUGUGUUUGGCAGCUUGGCCCGGGGCUUGCAGGGACCUAGCCGGAGCUGACCUGUGGCAGACCAUCAGGGUGACCUUCAACCGCAAAGCUGCUGUCCACGUGGACUGGGGCUCAGAUCGUGCGCCCAUCCGCCAGGACCCCCACAUCCAAACUCCGAGACAUGGCGACCAAUGGCAGCAAGGUGGCGCCGGGGGCAGAUCUCCACAGAAGUCAGUGAGGACCCCCUUGGCCAAGCGACAAGCCCAAAACCCUGGUGGUCAAGGUGCAGAAGAAGGCCGGGGACCUUCCCGAUCGAGAUACAUGGAAGGGCCGCUUCGACUUCCUCAUGUCCUGUGUGGGCCUACGCCAUUGGCCUGGGCAAUGUCCGGGAGGUUCCCCUACCUCUGUGGGAAGAAUGGCGGGGGUAGGUGGUGGCCUGGUAGCCCUCUCAGCUGGGUCCUGCUGGGGCGCUGUCGGGGGAAACUGUAGGGCAAAAGCCUUGUAAAGAUUCCAAAGAUUGUUGGUACUGGGUCUUGAUUCUUGCUUCUUGCCCCUUUAUCAAGUUAGUCAGCUCUCUGUCACUGUGACAAAAUACCUG
rnacentral:lncRNA from 1 species